ensembl:lncRNA
CACUUUCAUUUUGGUUCCAGAGUCCCGACUCUUUCUACUUUGUUGCUGGCCUGUUGGACCCCUUGGAUGCUUUUAGUCUAUUCUGACUCCCAUUCAUAUCUUUAGACUCACUCUGGUACCAGCAUCUAGAUCAUCUCCAGAGCACUGAGACACACACGGUGGAGAGAAACGACAGAGAAAGAGAUGCACACACACACACACACACACAGAGAGAGAGAGAGAGAGAGAGAGAGAGCGCCGUACAACUGUAUACCUGUUGGAGAGAGGGAAGCUACACUCUCAGAAGAGGAAGGAAAAAAGGAAGAAGGAAGUGUAGGAAGAUACAGGAAGGACCUACCUCAGACUGGAACUAACCUUUCAUGUUCCUUUGUGCACUGAAGCCUCCCAGUCUGCAGAAGUAACUAACACACGCUCUACCUUUUUAUUCUGGGGCCCACCAAAGACAGAAAACCCCUUUGGGACUUCCCAGUAAAUGUGCUGACUCACCUAUGUUCUUCACAAGCCCUACAGGCUGGUCACACUGGAUGGCUCCAUCCUUGUUGAAUGUGUCCUCUACUUUUUGACUUUUGUGAUUUUUGUCACAUUGUUUCUGCAAUUUGGAAUGUCCUACCCAGCUCUCUGCCCCCAUCCAUUCUUCUAUGUGGCAAAUCAAAUGCCCCCUCCUCCAUGAAUAAGUCCUCUUGAAUUGCCUCAAGGAUAAUGACUCACUUCCCCCUCUUAUCUCCAGGAGCAAUUUGCUUUUAACUCAUUUAACCCUUCAUUGUUCUGCUGUGUACAUCACUGUUUCUGAUUAUCCAAGCAUGCUGAUGGAGACUAUUCAGACAAAAACAGAAAAACAGAAACAAAGAAGUCAAGGGGGAGAAUCACCCAUAAUUCCCUCUCCCAGAAAGAACUCUGUUAACAUUUUGGCAUAUUUCCAUACAUAGUUUCUUUACUAUAUAUACAGAUUUGUAUCCUUUUCUUUUUCCAUGUUUCAUCUUUUUGGGUGUCCUGGAAGCAGAGCCCAAGACAAUAUUUUGGUGCAGGUAGUUUAUCUUGGAGAUAUGAUAGUUAAUUUGAUAUGUUAACUUGGCUGAGCUACGGUUCUCAGAUAUUUGGUCAAACAUUACUCUGGAUGUUUCUGUGAGGGCAUUGUUUGGAUGACAGCAUUUAAAUAGGGGGUCUUUGAGUAAAGCAGGUUGCCCUCCAUUAUGUAGGUGGGCCUCAUCCAAUCAGUUGAAGGUUUGAAUAGAACAAAAAACUGACCUCUCCUGAGCAAGAGAGAAUUCUACCAGCAGAUGGCCUUCAGACUUCAUCUGCAGCAGCAGUUCUUCCCUGAGUCUCCAGCCUGUCAGCCCACCCUGCACGUUUUGGACUUGGCAGUCUUGUAAUCACAUGAGCCAGUUCCUCAAAAUCAAUCUCUCUCUCUCUCUUUCUCUCUUUUUCUCCACAGUCUGUUGGUUCUAUUUCUUUGAAGAACCCUGACUAAUACAGGAGGUGAUCCCAGGUAGCAGGUAUGAAGGGGUGGGGAGCAUGAUACAGGGAAAGAGGGAGCAUCAAUGUUAGUGUAUGCUACUGAAGGAGCUGCUGUGGGCAAUCAGAAUUCUGUCAG